UACGUAGGGGGCAAGCGUUGUCCGGAUUUAUUGGGCGUAAAGAGCGUGUAGGCGGCCUUACAGGUCAGCUGUGAAAGCCCGGGGCUCAACCCCGGGAGGCGGGUGGAUACUGUCUAGCUCGAGUCCGGAAGAGGAGUGUGGAAUUCCUGGUGUAGCGGUGAAAUGCGCAGAUAUCAGGAGGAACACCAAUGGCGAAGGCAGCACUCUGGGACGUGACUGACGCUGAGACGCGAAAGCGUGGGGAGCAAACAGG
rnacentral:rRNA from 1 species